rnacentral:lncRNA from 1 species
GUACCUCUCACGGCCAAUAGGCUCCCUACCUUUGAAGCCUCUAAUCAAGGGUUAGCCCUUCAACUACCCUCACUAUAGCUGCCAACCACAUAUCGGAUGGUCUUUUUACCACUAUCAUAGACCAUCCUCCUUACCACCGUCGUCGAUGAUCCUACCAACCACCGUUAAUGGAUGAAUAUUAGGUUAGAUCUAAGUUUGAUUGUGAAUAUAAAAAUGAGUUGUCUUCCUAAGUGAAGUUUUGAACAUAGUUAUGGAAAGAACGUAGACAAAUUCACUAGAAACAACAGCUUAAUCUCAUUUUUGUGUUCACAAUCACAUGCUAGAACUUAGAUCUUGCCCAAUAUUCAUCCAUCAACGGUGCUAGAACUUGAGUUGGUGAAACCAACACCACACUCAUACCUUCCUGAAAUAAAUCUGGUGUUGAGACAUAAAACUGGGCCAUAGUUCAAGAAGAUUGGAAGAACAACACUGAUUAGAAUCCAUUACAUGCUCCUCUCUGGCAGCCACACAUGCUCCUCUAUGGCGAAAGAAGGUGAUGCAGCAAAGGCGGCGGAAGAAACAAUGGCGAAGCAGCGGCAGGACCAAGAUGGAUAUAGUCCGAAGGAGAUGUCGACUUGAUGAUCAAAGCUGUUUACAUGAGACAUAUCGGUAAAAAGUUUAAGCUUUCCUCUUGCUGUUAAGGUCAAUAUUUGAAAGUGUGAUAACCAAAUGGCUUUAAAAGUUAAAAUAAAUAAAUUGCGUAAAAAAAAAAAAACUCAAAAUAAUUGUGAAAAAUUAAAUUGCUAUGUGAUAUGUGUGCCAAU